rnacentral:rRNA from 1 species
CCGGGGUUUCUUUACCAGGUACUGUCAUUAUCAUCCCUGGCGAAAGAGCUUUACGACCCUAAGGCCUUCAUCACUCACGCGGCAUCGCUAGAUCAGGCUUGCGCCCAUUGUCUAAGAUUCC